CAGUAGCCGCGGGAAUACGUAGGGUGCAAGCGUUGUCCGGAAUCAUUGGGCGUAAAGCGCGCGUAGGUGGCCAUUUAAGUCCGCUGUGAAAGUCAAAGGCUCAACCUUUGAAAGCCGGUGGAUACUGGAUGGCUAGAGUACGGAAGAGGCGAGUGGAAUUCCUGGUGUAGCGGUGGAAUGCGCAGAUAUCAGGAGGAACACCAAUAGCGAAGGCAGCCCGCUGGGACGUUACUGACACUGAGGCGCGAAAGCGUGGGGAGCGAACAGGAUUAGAUACCCCCGUAGUCCCUGUCUCUUAUAC
rnacentral:rRNA from 1 species